GUUGACGAAUGAGGCACUUCCUUUCUAAGUGGUAACCCAAAACUCCUUCUUCAUAUAUAUUUGUUAUGAAAGUUGUUAGGCCCAAAGAAGAUGAGGCCUAGGCAAUUUUUUUUUUUUUUUUUUUGAAUUUUCAAAUUUCCGGAUUUUUGAAUUUUCGAAUUUCCGAAAAAAUAAUAUAUAUAUAUAUUUUAAAGCUUUGUAGGUGAAGCUUUGGUGUUGAAGCUUUGUAGGUGAAGCUUUGAGGUUGAAGUUUUGUUGGGCACCAUGAAUUGAUUUUGCUUCACACUAUCUUGAUGAAGAGUGUGUGAAACUUUUAUAUGUUUUGGUGUUGAAAUUUUGUAUUGUAGGUGAAGCUUUGGGGUUGAAGCUUGAUAGGUGAAGCUUUGGUGUUGAAGCUUUAUAGGUGAAGCUUUGGUGUUGAAGCUUUAUAGGUGAAGCUUUGGGGUUGAAGGUGAAGCUUUUGUUGGCACCAUAAAUUAAUUUUGCUUCACACUAUCUUGAUGAAGAUAUUGCGAAGCUUUUGAGAUUGAUAUUUGUCCUCCAUUGAUGAAGCUUUUGUUGGCACCAUAAAUUCACCUUGCUUCACACUAUCUUGAUGAAGAUAGUGCGAAGCUUUUGAGAUUGAUAUUUGUCCUCCAUUGAUGAAGCUUUUGUUGGUACCAUAAAUUCAUCUUGCUUCACACUAUCUUGAUGAAGAUAGUGCGAAGCUUUUGAGAUUGAUAUUUGUCCUCUAUUGAUGAAGCUUUUGUUGGCACCAUAAAUUGAUUUUGCUUCACACUAUCUUGAUGAAGAUAGUGCGAAGCUUUUGAGAUUGAUAUUUGUCUUCCAUUGAUGAAGCUUUGUUGAAUUUCCCAAUUUCCAAUUUCCUCUUUUUUUUUUUUUUUUUUUGGGAAAACUAGAAAUUUGAAAAUGUGGGAGAGACAACGUAUACAAAUUUUGCUUCCACACUGUUGAGCGAGAGAUUGUGAUGCAAGCCAUAUCUUGUAGUAGUCAAAGGUUUGGAUGAACCAUAUAAAUUGAAUUUGCUUCGAAC
rnacentral:lncRNA from 1 species